rnacentral:sRNA from 1 species
GCUGCGGCACAAUCCGCAGCCGGAAUUGGCGUUCCGAAGUUUCAAUUGAUCACCGGAAACAUCAGCAGCAUGUUU